rnacentral:rRNA from 1 species
GACGAGCCACACGAACGUUAUUCGGAAUUACUGGGCUUAAAGGGUGCGUAGGCGGUGCGGAAAGUUGGGUGUGAAAUCCCUCCGGCUCAACCGAGGAACUGCGCUCAAAACUACCGUACUUGAGGAAGAUAGAGGUGAGCGGAACUUACGGUGGAGCGGUGAAAUGCGUUGAUAUCGUAAGGAACACCCGUGGCGAAAGCGGCUCACUGGGUCCUUUCUGACGCUGAUGCACGAAAGCUAGGGGAGCAAACGGG